rnacentral:lncRNA from 1 species
UGGCACUAAUGUUCAUUGGUCCAUAAAUAUUACUAUGUAUUAGACCUAGAACUUUACUAGCUCAUUCACCUUUUUCAGUAAAAGAUGACUUAGUCAUCUUUUCAAGAAGACAAGACUCACAGGUUGACAAUAAUUCACAAUCAUUGAUAUUGAGGAUACCCUCUUGUGCAAAUAUGUUUAUCCUACUUUUGUUAAUAUGAUCGAGCCUGCAAUGCCAAAGGUAG